AUAACAAUACAGGACUCUUUCAAGGCCCUGUAAUUCGAAUGAGUACACUUUAACUCCUUUAUCAAGGAUCUAUUGGAGGGCAAGUCUGGUGCGAGCGACUGACCCGUGCGUGCAUGCUUGGAUAAAUCUGUCCAGGGUCCAU